GCCGGUGUAGCUCAGUCGGUAGAGCAACUGAUUCGUAAUCAGUAGGUCAUCGGUUCGACUCCGGUCACCGGCACCA
rnacentral:tRNA from 2 species